rnacentral:rRNA from 1 species
AGUGAACGCUGGCGGUAGGCCUAACACAUGCAAGUCGAACGGCAGCACAGUAAGAGCUUGCUCUUACGGGUGGCGAGUGGCGGACGGGUGAGGAAUGCAUCGGAAUCUACUUUUUCGUGGGGAUAACGUAGGGAAACUUACGCUAAUACCGCAUACGACCUACGGGUGAAAGCAGGGGAUCUUCGGACCUUGCGCGAUUGAAUGAGCCGAUGUCGGAUUAGCUAGUUGGCGGGGUAAAGGCCCACCAAGGCGACGAUCCGUAGCUGGUCUGAGAGGAUGAUCAGCCACACUGGAACUGAGACACGGUCCAGACUCCUACGGGAGGCAGCAGUGGGGAAUAUUGGACAAUGGGCGCAAGCCUGAUCCAGCCAUACCGCGUGGGUGAAGAAGGCCUUCGGGUUGUAAAGCCCUUUUGUUGGGAAAGAAAAGCAGCAGGUUAAUACCCCGCUGUUCUGACGGUACCCAAAGAAUAAGCACCGGCUAACUUCGUG